UAGCGACUUCUAUAAUAAAUACAUGUGCUACAAAGAGACGAAAGGAAGUAGCUACAAUUCACUGCAACUGAACUAGCGCUUCUCCAUGUGAACAGGCCCAUUCAGCGUUUGCUAGCCAGCAAUAUGUACAAAAGAGUGUUUCCUUCAUAAACCGCAGUAGCGAUUUCAAACGUAAAUCUUUUGUGGGCCACCCUUUACAACUGGGAAUUUUGGAGGAAUAACGUUUGUUUUUAUAAUAUGACUUUCCAAGAAAAUUGAUUAGGGUCCGUUUUGCAAAUUAAAUUCCAUACAACCUUGUUGAAGAGGGGUACAAAAGCAAGAAAAUGUAAUAGAGUUAAGAGCAGGAAAAGGGAAAAUUACUUGGUCAUGGGAUACCACAAAUUUUGUCAGAAUGUUUUGAGAAAAGAAAUUCGGAGCCAUAAAAAGAACAGACUUCGAUAUAUCAUUCGCUUAUAAUUAUGCAUAUCAUUUUUGACUAGUCAAAUUUUCUCCCAGUCCUUAGGUAUUCCAAUGAGCAAACGAAUAGAUACCAACAGCAAUACGUUUAUCCAAUGGAAUGAUGUUGGUUUUUGUUUAAAAACAAAAGUUUGUCAACAACGAAAGAUGAAAGUCUAGUGCGACGGUCGGAUAUAAGUUGUCCAGCUCUACAAUACACUCGUUCUUAUUCGCACGAUGAAGCGG